AUAAUAUCUUUAUGCGGACAAAAAGAGGAGCUUGACUGGUCCGAUCCACUUAAGUCCUUUAUCCAUUAGUAGGCCUACACCAGGAUUUCUCUUCUAAAUCCACAAAUAGUUGAAACGUUUAUACUGCCUAUUUUAAAACACCAAAUACACCCUGAACUAUCAUCCUAAACACUUUAAUAUCAUGUCAAGUCAUCGUACAUCGUACAACAUCAUCCUCCUGCAUCUAUUAGUCUUACCAAGACAAAAACUAAUCAAGCUAUCCCCAUUGGUACGUAUUUCCGUACCAACAGUAUCGCUCAGUGGUCGCGUCUACGGGUUUCCUCCAUCGUUAAAGGGGAAAAUUAUUGAAUCCAUAGAGUGUGUUAGUGUUUGGGAUGUACCGGGAUAAACGGGAAUGGCUUCACUAACACUCGCGUCUCUCUGCUGGGCUCUGCUGAUCCUCUUCGUCGUGGUUUUCGCUGCUGAAGCCCAGAACACCGUCACAGCUGAGCCUGGACAGGACGUAGUUCUACCAUGUCGAGUUCCAUCAGACAAAAUCAUGCAAGGUAUGAAGAGGAACAGAGCUGACCUGGGAGAUAAUUAUGUGCUUUUUUUCCGGGAUGACCGGCUGGAUCCAGAUGGUCAGCAUCCAUCUUUUAAGAACCGGGUGGAUCUACAGGACAGGAAUAUGAAUAAUAGAGAUGUGUCUCUGGUUCUGAAGAAUGUGACGACUGCUGAUGAUGGAUCAUACAAUUGUAAUAUUUUCAACAAAGUGACAAAAUCAUGGGAGAGCAUCAACACUGUCAGCCUGACUGUUUCAGGUCAGACAGGAGGAGACACAGUUGCACCUGUUGGACUCAUCGCUGGUCUGAGUGUUUCUGUGAUUCUUGUUGCUGCUGUUGUUGGUUUUCUGUGCUACAGAAAACAUAAACACCAGAACCGGGAUUUUAACUAGCAUCCUCAUGAACAGCAGGUUUCAAAUGUCUCUACGGUUUAGUAUGUGUAAACUAACAAAACACUAAACUUACAAAACAACACUGGUUUAAAAACUAAUUGUUUCAUUUAAUCCUGGAUCACACUACAUGACAUCACUACAGAGUGCAGACAAAUGAUGCAUCGUUUACCCGAAUUGCUAAAAUUGAGAGAAAUCCUGGAAAAAAUAUUAGGACAU
ensembl:lncRNA